rnacentral:lncRNA from 1 species
UAGAAUUGACCAUGGGGAAAUAUGGAGGGUUAGCAGGUCACUUUGGGCUGGAUCUUUAGGGGUUAUUAAAGAAAUACCCCUUUUCUCCAACUGUAGCAUCUUGUCUUCCCUGCCCCUACAGAGGUGUCAUGAGCAGUGCUUUGUGAUGCCCAAGCCACCUCAACACAAUCGUUGGCUAGGGGAUCUCCCUGAUGACCAAACAAAGCUGAAGGCGUGGCUCCUCACUGGUCAGCAGGCCUGGGGCAGACCACUGAGAGGCUUUAACAUGGCUGGUAAGAUCUGUGCACCAGAGGAGACUAGCACAAGUAUGAAACAAUCAAACAAAAGCAUGAAACAGCCAGCCCCAAGAAUCAGAAAAAAGAAGAGUUCUUGUCGACCAAAGCCCAGAGCCAGUGGCAAGGUGCAGAAGAAAACCACAAAGCCAAAAAGACCUCUUCAAAGGAAUUUGAGAAAAAAAACUCCUCGAGCAUCCCCUUCUUCCUUAAGAAUGCCUAACACAGCAAUAAGGCCAACGAUAUUCAUCUGUUACCACAAGCUGAGUGAGAAACAAAAUGAAAAUGAGCCGAGAGGGAAUAAGAAGCACUGGAAAAUCCAAAAGUUCCAAGUAACAUCCUGUACAGCUAGCAAAUGCCAAGCAUGGGCUAGAAACCUUGCAUCUUCUGAAGCAGCUGUGGAGAACUGGUCAAACACAUAAAGAUCAAAUCUGGAGCAACAGGGUACACAGAUUGAUAAAAGGAAAGUCAACAAGUUGUGAAAAGGCAAUGUGUUUGUGUGUCUAUGACAGAUGAAGGGGAAAAAAUGAAGAGACAGGCAUGUGAGUAGAGAGGGAGGUGAGGUCCUGGACGGUUGGGGGCCAGACUGGCAGGUCCACAGUUAGCCAGACAUGGGGAUAAGGACUGCAUGAGGACUGAGAACUAAACACAAAUAUUCUCAGCAGUUUGUCCCACAGGCAAGAAGAAAAAGAGCUUUGGUGGUUCUAUGUGUGUUUGGUGUAGAGACGGGGCACAAAGUCAGAGCUGAGAUUGCCAGAACCCAGAUGGGAAGAGGGUUUAAUGCGUGGUGGGUGACAAUGACACUCCUCCUAAAACAGUAGACAACAAAAGCACCUUCAGGUCACCUAACCACCUCCGGGUGACGUAUGCCAUUGUGGUGUGCAUUGUACCCCACCCAGUGCUGUAAGCCACCAAAGGCCUUCAGAGAGACAAAAUCUCACCCUAUAGAAAGUCACCAACAGCACCCCCACACACUAAAAUAAUGGUGUUUGGAGGCCACAAAUGCAAGAGCAAUUAAUUAGGCUAUUUUCUUGUUACGAAGGUUUGGGUGGAGGAAUGGCCUACCAUGGGUAGGGCAGUGGGAAUGGUCUGCCCACCUGCAGGCAAUAAAAGGAAACAGCAAAAAAACAAAACAAAACAAAACAAAACAAAAAACAAAGAGGAAACAGUGUCCACAGAGAAUUUUAAUAUAAGAACAACAAAACCCAGUAAAAGGCAAUCUUGUUUUUAUUAGCACCAUAAUCAACCAUUUCUAAAUUUUAAUAUAUAUGUAAGGUCCAAAUUAGCCAAUUUUUAGAAUGCAUGUUUUAAUAAUCAUCUUAUUCUACAAGGAAGUUACUUUGACAAAUUCUUGUCAAAUAGUUGGUCCCAGGGAGAGGCUGUUCUUUUCUAAAGUAAGUUCUUAACCAUUUAGAAUCAUUUGAGCUUGCUUUGAGCACACUUCCAGACUGCGAUCCCUGUGGCCAUAUAUAAUACACAUAACCCAUAUUUUUAAAAAUAUUUUAUUUAUUUAUUCAUGAGAGACACACACACAGAGAGAGAGAGAGGCAGAGACACAGGCAGACGGAGAAGCAGGCUCCAUGCAGGGAGCCCAACGUGGGACUCGAUCCCGGGACCCCAGGAUCAUGCCCUGGGCUGAAGGUGGCGUUAAACCAUUGAGCCACCCAG